AUAUGCCUGGCUCCCUGUAUGCCACUCGCGUAGCUGCCAAACUCAGUUGAAACAACUGCCUUCUCCCGGCGAGAUUCAGGCAUUGUGUUCGUACGUUUGGCUCUACUGCGGAUGGCGUGCGAGGAGCCAAGCAUGA
rnacentral:pre_miRNA from 17 species